rnacentral:misc_RNA from 1 species
CUUGGAACCAAAUGAAUUCCAGCACAAAUGUCAAUGCUGCAUUGAACCCUUUAUUUUAUCAGCUUCAAAAAAAAGUUUUACAUGAUUACAUCCGAUGCUCAAUAUCUUAUCAAAUAUUGAGACUAAUUAAGUUUGAAUCUCAAAUAAUCCUAUCUGUAUUCAUUCGCAGCAAAUUAAAACUGCAAGAACAAGGAAACAAUAAUGUCCUCCUCAAAAGCAAAAAUCAAGUAUCAAAUUAUUUCAUUUACCACUAGGAGCCCUUCUCUGAAUCCUUGGAAUCUACUGCCUGCUCCACUGCCUUCUCAGCUACAUUCGACUCAGAUUUGUUUGAUGCCUUUUCUUCGUCUGAUUUCUUCCUGGCUGCCUCCUCUUCAGCCUUUUCUGCCCGCAAAAUUGGCUCGUAAUAAUCAGCAUGCGCCUCCAUACACUUCUUCAAAGCCCCAGUCACCUCAUAGCACUUUUCCACUAUGUCCUCAUUUUUCUUCUCUGCCUCUUCAAUGCAAUUCUCCCAUGCUAUAAAGGCAUCUUUGCACCCACCCCCCUUCAUGAACAAACAAAAUCCACAUUCUCCCACCUCUUCCCCCUCUCCCUCCCUCUCUUUACCCUGAUCUUCAUCCCCAUUUUCUA